AGAUACCUCUGAGGCUGUCUUCAAGAGAGACAGCCUCAGAGGUAUCUUUUUUUGGAAA
rnacentral:ncRNA from 2 species